rnacentral:ncRNA from 1 species
GGGGAUACACUUAGAGUCCCCCGUACGAGCGUGUAAAUAGUGGUCCUUUUGGCCGAGUCCCACGGUUUGUGAAUC